rnacentral:tRNA from 1 species
AGGCUCGUAGCAGGCCGGGUUAGAGCACCCCCUUGACAUGGUGGGGGUCGUUGGUUCGAGUCCAAAUCGGAGCCUACCA